UACGUAGGGUGCAAGCGUUGUCCGGAAUUAUUGGGCGUAAAGAGCUCGUAGGCGGUCUGUCGCGUCGGCUGUGAAAACCCGGAGCUCAACUCCGGGCCUGCAGUCGAUACGGGCAAACUGGAGUGUUGCAGGGGAGACUGGAAUUCCUGGUGUAGCGGUGAAAUGCGCAGAUAUCAGGAGGAACACCGGUGGCGAAGGCGGGACUCUGGGCCGAUACUGACGCUGAGGAGCGAAAGCGUGGGGGAGCGAACAGG
rnacentral:rRNA from 1 species